CGCGGCCGCGGACCUGGUACCCCAGAGCAGCGAGCGGGUGGGGAGCAGCCGGGGCGAGAAUGAGCGCAAUCUUGCUAACCCCUGCGGAGGGAGCGCGCGGGCGCCAACGCGGGCGCGCGGGGGCGGGCCCUGGACCUGGACCUUGGGUUUCGGCCCUCCUCCGCGCCCCGCGGUCUCGCGGGCGAAGUUUCAGUCCUGAGUGUAAAGAAUAACCCCAAGCGCGUGGCUAAGUGCGAGCAGGCGCGUGUGACGUCGGGAGGCGCCGCGGCUCCUCGGCCGCCCCACUCGGUGGUCCCCUGUCUGGAUCCAAACUGCUGACUGGCUGACCCGAGUGGUCACAUUUGCCCUCUGGGGCUUUUGAAAACCUUAAAUCAAAAUUGCUUUUGAAUCUGACAACUCCUGAGGCUACUUUCGCGGCCUCGGGGCUGUUUCAUAUAAGGACGCGAGUUUUCCUGAUCAGGUCUGUCGGCCACGUUACGAUUUCCAAUUUGCGAUCCAUCAGUUACUUCCAUUGGGUCUUCAGCCCCCAGGGACUGUGGAUCCUAGACCCCGCGGAGAAGCCCGUGGACUGGAGCUGUGUCAGCUCUGAUGGAACAAAAACGGAGGCACAGAGAGGUCAAUUGAUUGGUCUAAUGACACAGAUCUAGCAAGUGGUGGAACCAGGACUGAAUCCAGAGAAUCUGGAAGACUACUCUGCCAAGACAUCUCAAAAAGUGUGUGUCCGGAAUUGGUGGGUUCUUGGUCUCACUGAC
rnacentral:lncRNA from 1 species